AUGAACGCUGGCGGCGUGCCUAAUACAUGCAAGUCGAGCGAACGGACGAGGAGCUUGCUUCUCUGAUGUUAGCGGCGGACGGGUGAGUAACACGUGGAUAACCUACCUAUAAGACUGGGAUAACUUCGGGAAACCGGAGCUAAUACCGGAUAAUAUUUUGAACCGCAUGGUUCAAAAGUGAAAGACGGUCUUGCUGUCACUUAUAGAUGGAUCCGCGCUGCAUUAGCUAGUUGGUAAGGUAACGGCUUACCAAGGCAACGAUGCAUAGCCGACCUGAGAGGGUGAUCGGCCACACUGGAACUGAGACACGGUCCAGACUCCUACGGGAGGCAGCAGUAGGGAAUCUUCCGCAAUGGGCGAAAGCCUGACGGAGCAACGCCGCGUGAGUGAUGAAGGUCUUCGGAUCGUAAAACUCUGUUAUUAGGGAAGAACAUAUGUGUAAGUAACUGUGCACAUCUUGACGGUACCUAAUCAGAAAGCCACGGCUAACUACGUG
rnacentral:rRNA from 1 species